GAUGAACGCUGGCGGCGUGCCUAAUACAUGCAAGUCGAGCGAACGGACGAGAAGCUUUCUUCUCUGAUGUUAGCGGCGGACGGGUGAGUAACACGUGGAUAACCUACCUAUAAGACUGGGAUAACUUCGGGAAACCGGAGCUAAUACCGGAUAAUAUUUUGAACCGCAUGGUUCAAAAGUGAAAGACGGUCUUGCUGUCACUUAUAGAUGGAUCCGCGCUGCAUUAGCUAGUUGGUAAGGUAACGGCUUACCAAGGCAACGAUGCAUAGCCGACCUGAGAGGGUGAUCGGCCACACUGGAACUGAGACACGGUCCAGACUCCUACGGGAGGCAGCAGUAGGGAAUCUUCCGCAAUGGGCGAAAGCCUGACGGAGCAACGCCGCGUGAGUGAUGAAGGUCUUCGGACCGUAAAACUCUGUUAUUAGGGAAGAACAUAUGUGUAAGUAACUGUGCACAUCUUGACGGUACCUAAUCAGAAAGCCACGGCUAACUACGUG
rnacentral:rRNA from 1 species